rnacentral:lncRNA from 12 species
CCCCCCCCCCCCCCCCCCCCCCCCCCCCCCCCCCCCCCCCCCCCCCCCCCCCCCCCCCCCCGUCGGGAGCGGCCGCCGGUCCCCUCACGAUCGGCCGCCAUGUUGGCUGUGGCUCUGGCCGGUCCUGGCCCCGCCGGGCCCCUCGGUUCCUUCGAGCAGGGGGCGAGAGGCGCGUUGAGGCUCCCUCGGAGCCCCCUUGGAGUGUAAGACUCCGUCGGCCUUUCCCGGUGAAAUGGCAAGGGAAGGGCCGCAGGAGUGUGUCGGCGCUGCUCCCGGCGAUGUGGAGUGGGAGGUGUCAGUCCUGCUGUGGGGAAAUUUUCGAGAGAAGGAUGAUCUCGGUAGAGGGAGCCCAGCUUGGUGUGGUCCUCAUUCCUGAUGUCAUGUGUGAAGAGAGAUGGAAAGAAAUACAUCAGAGGCUCAGAGCUGGGCAUGGAGCAUGGGCAGCAUGUCCAAAGUAAUCCCAUCUGCAGGAGCCUGCAAGAGCCAUUCCUUCUCCUGGAGCCCAAAAAGGAGAACAGUUUCCUUCACCAGGUUUGACAGUAAGAUGUGGGGUCACUGGGGAGAUAUCCAGAGAUAGAGCCAUCAGGGCUGAAGGCAGGAGAACCACAAUUAAUAUUAGGUUGCAAAACCUAACACCUGGAGUGCCUUUGCUUUCCUAACACCAAAAAUGUACCUUUACCAAACAGCCUGAGAGCUCACAGGCAG